rnacentral:rRNA from 1 species
UACGUAGGGUGCGAGCGUUAAUCGGAAUUACUGGGCGUAAAGUGUGCGCAGGCGGCGUCGCAAGUCGAGUGUGAAAGCCCCGGGCUUAACUUGGGAAUUGCGCUCGAAACUACGAUGCUGGAGUAUGGCAGAGGAAGGUGGAAUUCCGGGUGUAGUGGUGAAAUGCGUAGAGAUCCGGAGGAACACCAGUGGCGAAGGCGACACGCUGGGCCGUACCUGACACUGAUGCGCGACAGCAUGGGGAGCAAACAGG